rnacentral:rRNA from 1 species
UUAAGUGAACAAGGGCAUACGGCGGAUGCCUUGGCGCCAAGAGCCGAUGAAGGACGCGGUAAGCUGCGAAAAGGCAUGGGUAGGAGCAAGCAUCCAGUGAUCCAUGCAUAUCCGAAUGGGGCAACCCACCAUCAGUCAUGUGAUGGUACGAAAGAGGCAGACCUGGGGAACUGAAACAUCUAAGUACCCAGAGGAAAAGUAAUCAAUUGAGAUUCCCUAAGUAGCGGCGAGCGAAAGGGGAAGAGCCCAAACCAUGAAACUUCGGUUUUGUGGGGUUGAGGACCGGCAUAAAGAGGAAACUUCUUAGUCGAAUGGUUUGGAAAGGCCAUGCACAGAAGGUAAAACACCUGUAGGCGAAAAGAAGUCAAUCGGGCUGGUAUCCAGAGUACUGCGAGACACGUGAAACCUUGCAGGAAGCAGGGGGGACCACCCUCCAAGGCAAAAUACUACUUGGCGACCGAUAGCGCAUAGUACCGUGAGGGAAAGGUGAAAAGAACCCCGGGAGGGGAGUGAAAUAGAACCUGAAACCGUAUGUCUACAAGCAGUCGAAGCACCUUAAGAGUGCGACGGCGUGCCUAUUGAAGAAUGAACCGGCGAGUUACAUUAUGUUGCGAGGUUAAGUGGGAGACACGGAGCCGAAGCGAAAGCGAGUCUUAAUAGGGCGACUAGUAACAUGGUGUAGACCCGAAACCGCAGUGAUCUAUCCAUGGUCAGGUUGAAGCGCAGGUAAAAAUGCGUGGAGGACCGAACCCGUGAGUGUUGAAAAACUUUGGGAUGAACCGUGGAUAGGGGUGAAAUGCCAAUCGAACGCGGAGAUAGCUGGUACUCCCCGAAAUAGCUUUAGGGCUAGCCUCAGGGAAGAUUAUAGACGGUAGAGCACUGAUCUGGCAAGGGGGCGUAAAGCCUACCGACCCUAGUCAAACUUCGAAUGGCUAUAAUUAAGACCCUGGGAGUCAGACUGCGAGUGAUAAGACCCGUAGUCAAGAGGGAAACAGCCCAGACCGCCGACUAAGGUCCCCAAUGCUGUACUAAGUGGAAAAGGAUGUAAGACUUCAUAAACAACCAGGAUGUUGGCUUAGAAGCAGCCACCAUUAAAAGAGUGCGUAAUAGCUCACUGGUCGAGAGGCCUUGCGCCGAAGAUGUCCGGGGCUCAAGUACAGAACCGAAGUCGCGGCAGGAUUAUAUAAUUCUGGGUAGGGGAGCGUUGUAUAUCCGACUGAAGGUGUACCGGAAGGAGCGCUGGAGGAUAUACAAGAGAGAAUGCCGGUAUGAGUAGCGAAAAGAACAGUGAGAAUCUGUUCCACCGAAAGCCUAAGGUUUCCUGAGCAACGCUCGUCGACUCAGGGUAAGUCGGGACCUAAGCCGAGGCAAAAAGCAUAGGCGAUGGACAACAGGUUAAUAUUCCUGUACCGCUUCAAAUCGUUUGAGCAAUGGAGUGACACAGAAGGUAGCUUGAGCACGCGAAUGGAUGUGCGUGUCGAAGGUGGUAGGUUGCAGUAUAGGUAAAUCCGUACUGUAUAAGACCGAGAACUGAUAGAUAGACGAUACUUCGGUAAAGUCAAAUUCAAGUGAGCCAUGCUGUCGAGAAAAGCUUCUAGUGAGAGAUGAGGCGCCCGUACCGAAACCGACACAGGUAGGCGGGGAGAGAAUCCUAAGGUGCGCGGGACAACCCUCGUUAAGGAACUCGGCAAAUUGUAUCCGUAACUUAGGGAUAAGGAUAGCCGGAGGAUGUGAAGGGAUUUACUUCUGGAGCGUCAGCCGGUGGCACAAGAGAGGCCCAAGCGACUGUUUAGCACAAACACAGGUGCCUGCAAAAGAGAAAUCUGACGUAUAGGUGCUGACACCUGCCCGGUGCUGGAAGGUUAAGAGGAGGGCUUAGAGGAAACUCGAAGGCUUGAAUUGAAGCCCCAGUAAACGGCGGCCGUAACUAUAACGGUCCUAAGGUAGCGAAAUUCCUUGUCGGGUAAGUUCCGACCCGC